CCUACGGGAGGCAGCAGUGAGGAAUAUUGGUCAAUGGACGAGAGUCUGAACCAGCCAAGUAGCGUGAAGGAUGACUGCCCUAUGGGUUGUAAACUUCUUUUAUAUGGGAAUAAAAUGUUCCACGUGUGGGAUUUUGUAUGUACCAUAUGAAUAAGGAUCGGCUAACGCCGUGCCAGCAGCCGCUGUAAUACGGAGGAUCCGAGCGUUAUACGGAUUUAUUGGGUUUAAAGGGAGCGUAGGUGGAUUGUUAAGUCAGUUGUGAAAGUUUGCGGCUCAACCGUAAAAUUGCAGUUGAAACUGGCAGUCUUGAGUACAGUAGAGGUGGGCGGAAUUCGUGGUGUAGCGGUGAAAUGCUUAGAUAUCACGAAGAACUCCGAUUGCGAAGGCAGUUCACUGGACUGCAACUGACACUGAGGCUCGAAAGUGUGGGUAUCAAACAGGAUUAGAUACCCCAGUAGUC
rnacentral:rRNA from 1 species